rnacentral:rRNA from 1 species
CAUGUAGGCGGCUCUGUAAGCCUGGCGUGAAAGUCCACAGCUCAACUGUGGGAUUGCGCUGGGAACUGCGGGGCUUGAGUCACGGAGGGGGAGCUGGAAUUCCAGGUGUAGGGGUGAAAUCUGUAGAGAUCUGGAAGAACACCAGUGGCGAAGGCGAGCUUCUAGCCGAUGACUGACGCUGAGGUGCGAAAGCGUGGGGAGCAAACA